rnacentral:rRNA from 1 species
GGGUUUUAAUUCGAUGCAACGCGAAUAACCUUACCUGGCCUUGACAUCCACGGAACCCUGCAGAGAUGCGGGGGUGCCUUCGGGAACCGUGAGACAGGUGCUGCAUGGCUGUCGUCAGCUCGUGUCGUGAGAUGUUGGGUUAAGUCCCGCAACGAGCGCAACCCUUGUCCCUAGUUGCCAGCAUUCAGUUGGGCACUCCAGGGAGACCGCCGGUGACAAACCGGA